UUAAGUCAAAUUUGUAUGGAGUUGGAACAUUUGCCUUCGUUUGCCGCUAGGGGCACUGUUCCAACUGCAUACAAAUUUCAGGUA
rnacentral:pre_miRNA from 1 species